rnacentral:tRNA from 1 species
GCGGAAUAACAUGGUGAGCCAUGAAGGACUCGAACCUUCGACCCUCUGAUUAAAAGUCAGAUGCUCCAUUCCAUUCCAUUCCAUUCCAUUCCAUUCCAUUCCAUUCCAUUCCAUUCCAUUCCAUUCAACAUCACCUUGCCAAGGUGGGGGUCGCGGGUUCGAAUCCCGUCUUCCGCUCCA